rnacentral:rRNA from 1 species
GAUCCUGGCUCAGGAUGAACGCUAGCUACAGGCUUAACACAUGCAAGUCGAGGGGAAACGACAUCGAAAGCUUGCUUUUGAUGGGCGUCGACCGGCGCACGGGUGAGUAACGCGUAUCCAACCUGCCCAUCACUUGGGAAUAACCUUGCGAAAGUAAGACUAAUGCCCAAUGAUAUCCCACGAAGGCAUCCGAAUGGGAUUAAAGAAUUUCGGUUAUCGAUGGGGAUGCGUUCCAUUAGGCAG